rnacentral:rRNA from 1 species
UGCGAAGGCAGCUUUUCUGGAUCAUUACUGACGCUGAGGAACGAAAGCAUGGGUAGCGAAGAGGAUUAGAUACCCUCGUAGUCCAUGCCGUAAACGAUGUGUGUUAGACGUUGGAAAUUUAUUUUCAGUGUCGCAGCGAAAGCAUUAAACACACCGCCUGGGGAGUACGACCGCAAGGUUAAAACUCAAAUGAAUUGACGGGGACCCGCACAAGUAGUGGAGCAUGUGGUUUAAUUCGAAGAUACGCGCAGAACCUUACCAACACUUGACAUGUUCGUCGCGACUUUAAGAGAUUAAAGUUUUCGGUUCGGCCGGACGAAACACAGGUGCUGCAUGGCUGUCGUCAGCUCGUGUCGUGAGAUGUUGGGUUAAGUCCCGCAACGAGCGCAACCCUCACUUUUAGUUGCCAUCAUUAAGUUGGGCACUCUGAAAGAACUGCCAGUGAUAAGCUGGAGGAAGGUGGGGAUGACGUCAAGUCCUCAUGGCCCUUACGUGUUGGGCUACACACGUGCUACAAUGGCAUUCACAAUAGGAAGCAAGAUGGCGACGUCAAGCAAAUCCUAAAAAGAUGCCUCAGUUCGGAUUGUACUCUGCAACUCGAGUACAUGAAGCUGGAAUUACUAGUAAUCGCGGAUCAGCGCGCCGCGGUGAAUACGUUCCCGGGUCUUGUACACACCGCCCGUCACACCAUGGGAGUUGGUUCUACCUUAAGGCAAGGUUUCAAACCCUUGACCACGGUAUAGUCAGCGACUGGGGUGAAGUCAUAACAAGGUAACCGUA